rnacentral:rRNA from 1 species
AAGGAAAAAAGCGUAACAAGGUCUCCGUUGGUGAACCAGCGGAGGGAUCAUUACCGAGUUUACAACUCCCAAACCCCUGUGAACAUACCACUUGUUGCCUCGGCGGAUCAGCCCGCUCCCGGUAAAACGGGACGGCCCGCCAGAGGACCCCUAAACUCUGUUUCUAUAUGUAACUUCUGAGUAAAACCAUAAAUAAAUCAAAACUUUCAACAACGGAUCUCUUGGUUCUGGCAUCGAUGAAGAACGCAGCAAAAUGCGAUAAGUAAUGUGAAUUGCAGAAUUCAGUGAAUCAUCGAAUCUUUGAACGCACAUUGCGCCUGCCAGUAUUCUGGCGGGCAUGCCUGUUCGAGCGUCAUUUCAACCCUCAAGCACAGCUUGGUGUUGGGACUCGCGUUAAUUCGCGUUCCCCAAAUUGAUUGGCGGUCACGUCGAGCUUCCAUAGCGUAGUAGUAAAACCCUCGUUACUGGUAAUCGUCGCGGCCACGCCGUUAAACCCCAACUUCUGAAUGUGACCU